GGCUUCGUGGCCUAAUGGUAAGGCGUUGCUUUCCGGUGGCAAAGAUUGUGGGUUCGAGUCCCAUCGGGGUCG
rnacentral:tRNA from 1 species